GUGCUCGUAGCUCAACUGGAUAGAGCAACGGCCUUCUAAGCCGUAGGUCGCAGGUUCGAAUCCUGCCGGGCAUGCCA
rnacentral:tRNA from 1 species